CGUGUAGGCGGACCAAUCAGUCAGGGGUGAAAGCCAUGGGCUCAACCUGUGAACUGCCUUUGAUACUGUUGGUCUAGAGUUCGUGAGAGGAUAGCGGAAUACCCAGUGUAGAGGUGAAAUUCGUAGAUAUUGGGUAGAACACCAGUGGCGAAGGCGGCUAUCUGGCACGAUACUGACGCUGAGGCGCGAAAGCGUGGGGAGCAAACA
rnacentral:rRNA from 1 species